rnacentral:lncRNA from 1 species
GGUAAAGGGUAUAAAUACCCCCACCCACACCUGACCAAAGAAACCCUAGCCGCCAGUGGUCGCCGGAGAAGAAGAACCAGACGCCGGAGGAGCCGGCCGCCGCCACCCGCCGCCACACCGGGGAAGUUUCCGACCACUGAUCAAGGUAAUUUUUCUCUCCCUUGCUCGUUUUUCGAUGUAGAGUCCACCUAUGGCCAAACCGGAGCCAAACCAUCGGCCAAACGGCUGGAAAACCCAGCCGAAACCCAGCGGCGCCACCGCGCCCCUCCUCGGUUUUUGCCUCCGAUGAGGCCCUUCCCGGCCUCCGUUUGAUGCAAAUUUUAUACCACUGUGAUCAUCGUUCUUUUCUCUACAGGUUGAUCGGAGCCAAACAUCAAAACACGACUCACGCCGGAGGAGCCGCCGCACCCGAGAGCACCGCCGCCGGUAAGUUUCGAUUUUUCGUGAUUUUUCGGCCCACCGAGGGCCCUAGGGUUGUUCUAUCGUGGGGAUCGAUGCAAGCAUGGCCGAAUUCGACCAUUUUAUUUCGUGAUUU